GGCGAAGUGCCAGAGUGGUUAAUGGGUGUGCCUCGAAUUAACUCUGGAUUCCCAGAGCCUUUGUAGCACAUGGCUUCGGUCGCGCAAGUUCGAAUCUUGUCUUCGUCG